CACCGUCAGCACCCAAAGCUGAAA
rnacentral:piRNA from 1 species